rnacentral:rRNA from 1 species
CAAAAACAUUGCUUCAUGAGAAGAGGUAUGAGGUAUAUCCUGCCCGGUGACUUAAGUGUUAAACGGCCGCGGUAUCCUGACUGUGCUAAGGUAGCGUGAUAAUUCGCCCUUUAAUUGUGGGCUUGAACGAAUGGAUUAACGAGAGCUUAGCUGUCUCUAUCUUAGAAAUAGAAGUUGAUUUUCAGGUGAAAAAACCUGGAUUAUAGUGUAGGACAAAAAGACCCCAUAGAGCUUAGUUGAAUUUAAGGUAAGUAUUAAAGUAUUUAAAAUAUUUUUUUUAGUAAUCUUAUAUUAACUUAACUGGGGCGGUUAAGAAAGUUUUUAUCUUUCUUUAAAGAGAUAAGGCUUACAGGCUGAUUUAAAUUACAGAUCCUUUAAAAGAUCAGAGGAAAAGCUACCUUGGGGAUAACAGACUAAUUUUUUUUGAGAGCUCGUAUUGACAAAAAAGUUUGGCACAUCGAUGUUGGCUUAGGGCGUCCAGAGGGUAGUAGCAGCCUUUAAUGGUGGGUUUGUUCAACCUUUAAAGCCCUACGUGAUCUGA